rnacentral:misc_RNA from 1 species
AGCGCACUCGUAAAGGUGAAUAAUGUUUUUAAUUAUUGCAUUUGCCUUGUUAACUUGUUUUUCUUGAAUGAAAUGAAAUAGCCCGUUACGCAAUUUUCAUUACAAGUAUAACUUGUUGGGUUCGCAUUUUCAUAAUGAGAUGCUCAACUGAGGUUUGUAAUUUUCGUUGGUAUAAAUCUUGGCUUUUAGCUUCAUUUCAUUGUACAUUGUCGUAAUUGCUUUCUCAAGUCAUUUAUGUUGAUUGUGGAUUAGUUGAUUAUACGCACGAGAGGGAAAAAUAAAACUGGAUUUUGAAAAUUUUCUAAUUUCUCUUUGGAAUAGAGGUUGUUAGUUACAGAAGAAGAGAAUUUUGAUUACCCUGUUGUAAUUAAUGCAGGUGAUCUUCACUGG